GAUGAACGCUAGCGGCAGGCUUAACACAUGCAAGUCGAGGGGCAUCGAGAUGUAGCAAUACAUUGUCGGCGACCGGCGGACGGGUGCGUAACGCGUGAGCAACCUUCCCGUAUCAGGGGGAUAACCGAUGGAAACGUCGCCUAAUACCCCAUAACAACACAUGUCUCCUGACGUGUGUUUGAAAGGUUCGUCAGAUACGGCUGGGCUCGCGUGACAUUAGCUGGUUGGUGAGGUAACGGCUCACCAAGGCUACGAUGUCUAGGGGUUCUGAGAGGAAGAUCCCCCACACUGGAACUGAGACACGGUCCAGACUCCUACGGGAGGCAGCAGUGAGGAAUAUUGGUCAAUGGGCGCAAGCCUGAACCAGCCAUGCCGCGUGAAGGAAUAAGGUCCUAUGGAUCGUAAACUUCUUUUGAGCGGGAGCAAUAAGGUCUACGUGUAGACCGAUGAGAGUACCGUUCGAAUAAGCAUCGGCUAACUCCGUGCCGGCAGCCGCGGUAAUACGGAGGAUGCAAGCGUUAUCCGGAUUUAUUGGGUUUAAAGGGUGCGUAGGCCGUUGUGCAAGUCAGAGGUGAAAUUGUGGGGCUCAACUCCGCCGCUGCCUUUGAAACUGCAUGACUUGAAUCCUGUUGCCGUGGGAGGAAUGAGUAGUGUAGCGGUGAAAUGCAUAGAUAUUACUCAGAACCCCAAUUGCGAAGGCAUCUCACGAAGCAGGUAUUGACGCUGAGGCACGAAAGCGUGGGUAUCAAACAGGAUUAGAUACCCUGGUAGUCCACGCUGUAAACGAUGAUAACUAACCGCCGGCGAUAUAGUGUCGGUGGCCAAGCGAAAGCGAUAAGUUAUCCACCUGGGGAGUACGACCGCAAGGUUGAAACUCAAAGGAAUUGACGGGGGCCCGCACAAGCGGAGGAACAUGUGGUUUAAUUCGAUGAUACGCGAGGGAACCCUACCCGGGGCUCGAAACGGCAGAGGGAAGAGACUCAGAGAAUGAAGACGUUCCCUUCGGGGACCUCUGUCGAGGUGCUGCAUGGUGUCGUCAGCUGUGUCGUGAGAUGUGGCUCAGGG
rnacentral:rRNA from 1 species